GCAAUAACUCCGGGCUUGCCUCUGUUUCUCUAUAACUACACCACCCAUCAGUUACAUGGCAUUUUUGAGGCAGCAAGUUUUGGGGGCUCCAACAUUGAUCCAACUGCUUGGGAAGACAAGAAAUGUAAAGGCGAGUCCAGGUUUCCAGCUCAGGUAAGAAUCCGCAUUAGAAAACUCUGCAGGGCGUUAGAAGAAGAUUCCUUCAGGCCAGUCUUGCACCACUAUGAUGGUCCAAAAUUCCGUCUCGAACUAUCGAUCCCUGAGACAUUGGAUCUUCUAGACCUGUGUGAGCAGGCGGGUUCAGCAUCAUAAGCUAAGCAACAACGACAAGCUUAUGCAUCACAGAGAAUGGUGAAUGAAGAGGGCUCAAUGGUUCCUGUCAGCUAAGGCUAAGACACAGAUUUUUCAAAGAGCGCAAGCUUAGGAUGAGUCUGAUCAAGCAGCGAGUAGUGAGUUUGGCGAGUGAAGGCUUAAGCCAAAAUAAGUAAGGGAAAAAAAAAUUGUAUGUUCUUGUAUUAUUGUAUUGUAUCAUCAGACAAGGUGAGUAGAUAAUGUAAUAGUGAAU
rnacentral:misc_RNA from 1 species